rnacentral:rRNA from 1 species
UACGUAGGGUGCGAGCGUUGUCCGGAAUUACUGGGCGUAAAGAGCUCGUAGGUGGUUUGUCGCGUUGUUCGUGAAAUCUCACGGCUUAACUGUGAGCGUGCGGGCGAUACGGGCAGACUGGAGUACUGCAGGGGAGACUGGAAUUCCUGGUGUAGCGGUGGAAUGCGCAGAUAUCAGGAGGAACACCGGUGGCGAAGGCGGGUCUCUGGGCAGUAACUGACGCUGAGGCGCGAAGGCCAGGGGAGCAAACGGG